AGGCCCGUCGUUCAAUGGCAGGACUACGGUCUCCAAAACCGUCAAUGGGGGUUCGACUCCCUCCGGGCCUG
rnacentral:tRNA from 1 species